rnacentral:rRNA from 1 species
UGCGUAGGCUGGCAAUUAAGUCAGUGGUGAAAUCCUACAGCUUAACUGUAGAACUGCCAUUGAUACUGGUUGUCUGGAGUCCAGUAGAAGUAUGCGGAAUGUGACAUGUAGCGGUGAAAUGCAUAGAUAUGUCAUAGAACACCGAUUGCGAAGGCAGCAUACUAGACUGGAACUGACGCUGAGGCACGAAAGCGUGGGGAGCGAACAGGAUUAGAUACCCUGGUAGUCC